CGACUGCGCGACUGUACCGUAGCGCGAGGACUGGAUGCGCCCGCUGAUUGGCUCCACUGCCGCAGCUGCGCACCAGCCGACCCUCACAGACGCCCCCGCCCCCACCUCACCCCAACUCGCUUUCACUGUUAGAGAGGGCUGUGCUUUCGUUUAGUUUCUAACCUUUGGCCUCAGUUGUGCCCUCGGGGUCCUCUUAUAUAAGACACCCUCAAGACAGCCAUCAUGUCAGUUCCCCUAUCAUAUACUUUCUAAACUAAAUAUCUAAAGUUCCUUCAAUUAGCUUCUGUGACAUCUAUCAUGAUGAAACUGCUCCUGGUCUCUGUGUCUCAUCUUUGAAAGCCUUUGCUGAGGGAUUUGCCCGGGUACCUUAACUCCAGGGACUUUAAAGUUUUUAAGUGAAAUCAUGAAGGAAUGUCUGGAAAUUAUUUGAAUUCCUCCAAAGAAGAGCAGUUUUUGUGGUUGUCACUCGAGAAAAGCCUAUGAACGUAAAGAGAGGUAAUAUGAUCAAGCUGGACUCCACCUUACAUGGUUAGGGCAAGUGAGGAAUUGAUGGCAACUGGGAGACAGCUUUACUCAAGACGUUAAGACUCUGUGCUACCUCUGAUUUCUUAACAUGUGUAACUUAGACUCCAAAACUGUUUUCGUCUCACUACAAUAUGAAGGCUUUGCAAGAUCAGCUCAAGAGACACAUCCAUACUGCUCUCUGCACCCAGCAGCCACGUCUGGACAGCUCUACUGAACAACUAAUGCAGUUCUGACACAAGUGGUAGAUUUGAGUGACUAACGCUGCCUCUCUGUUGUUUUUUUCCUCCCCUUCUUAAUCAAUACCCAUAUAAUUGAUCAGGUAGGCCAUAUGGCCCCUGUGAUUCCCACAUUAAGACAAUUAGGACAGCAGCCAGGUCAUUGCUCAAGCUGGCAUUCUUCAUAACUAAGACAAGAAAACCUAACUCUUUGUCUUUCUCAGAAAAAGCCAACUCCACCUGCUCGUGGGUAUGAUUCAGUACGAAUUCAUGUAAUAUCUAGCUAAAAAGGAGUACAGCCAUACUUAGAAAAAAUAUCGCCUAAAAGUGAAUUGUAUGCCAGUAAGUUUCCCCCUGCAGAAUCCAGACUGAAAUGUGAUAGUAGAAAUCUAAUGUGAUAGUGAAACUCUAGCUCAAGAAGAGUGAGUAUACAGUGUAGACUAAGAUCUUACACACACUCUGAGAGAGAGCUGCUGGUCACUGGAGAGUAGGUAGACUCUCCUACUCUAGGACCGAGUGUCAGAGAGGAGGAGUUCAGAGACUGGGGGAUUCUCACAGCUAUGAGCUCUAAAAUGAUGGAGGCGGGGGGAGGACUUGGAAAUGCAAGGCCAAGUGUAAGGAAAGAUAAAAGAUCUAUUUUCUGGCAUCAGGAUUUAUAGAGGGAACCGCUCCCACACUGCAACCCUCUUUUAAUAAGAGAAAGUAACAAGCUAAACAGCAUGUCAUAGCUGAGAUUUCUGGAAAGUCAGCCAUUCUCAGCAUCAUGGAAUCUGUGAAUCAGGAGCCAAUGGGAAGCAAAACAAGUAGCAGUUUGAAUAUAGAAUUAUUAUUUUAUUUAGAACAGAAAGUGAAAAUUUACUAAAUAUAUUUACUAAACAUAGGCUAAACAUAUGACCUAUUGGCCAGGAGAUUUAUGCUUCCCUACGUGAUAUGUUCUCUUAACUCCAACCCCCAACCCCCAAGCAGGAGCAGUGGAGGAAGCAAGAACCACCACAGUAGGGUUAGUCCUGGAAACGACAUUGUGCACCAGCAGACUUCUUGCAGAAGGUUUCCAAGCAUAAGAGAGACCCCUGAAGUACCUGGGCAGCCCACCCACUACUGAAACAAGACAAAAAUGCCUCUGGGAAGGAGAUGACAAAUAUUCCUCUUGUCCUAUUGUCUUCCAUCACUCAAACCAAUUAAAAAGUAGAACAAAAGUACCUAAAAAGAGGCAAACAACAGCAACCAAUUCUCCCAGUUUAUAAUCAAACAGGAUUUCAGCAACCAAUGUUGUUAAAAAAUUUUUCUACCAUAUGCCUCAUGUGUUACUCUAGUAAAUGAAUUCUUUCAUCAUCAAGAGAGUUUAUAUGACAUUCUCUUGAUGAUGAAAGAAUUUAUUUCCUAGAACAAAACUCUGGAAAAAGUCAUGUUAAGAAUCAUGCUGGCCAAUAUUAUAACAAACAACAUAACACUUCCACUAACUUCACAUUUGUUAUGGGCCAGGCACUCUACUAGGCAUUUUAUACAUGUUUUCUUAUUUUCUCCUCUAAACAGCUCUAUAAAGUAAAUGUUAGUUGUAUGUGAAAGGUAAGGACACAUGCUCAGAAAGGGUAAACUAUUUGAUAAAGUUACAUAGCUCAUAGGUAGCAGAGCAAGGAUUCAAACUAAGACUUUAAUCUUAGGCCACCUCAAACCACCAUACUCUCCUGCUCACAAAAUAAAUUUCUUAAUCAUUUGAAAAAAAAAAAAAAAAAAGAAUCAUGCUGGCAAGAUUCUUUUUGACCCAGCUCCUAGAGAAAUGGAAAUAAAAACAAAAAUAAACAAAUGGGACCUAAUGAAGCUUAAAAGCUUUUGCACAGCAAAGAAAACCAUAAACAAGACCAAAAGACAACCCUCAGAAUGGGAGAAAAUAUUUGCAAAUGAAGCAACUGACAAAGGAUUAAUCUCCAAGAUUUACAAGCAGCUCAUGCAGCUCAAUAACGAAAAAACAAACAACCCAAUCCAAAAAUGGGCAGAAGACCUAAAUAGACAUUUCUCCAAAGAAGAUAUACAGAUUGCCAACAAACACAUGAAAGAAUGCUCAACAUCAUUAAUCAUUAGAGAAAUGCAAAUCAAAAUUACAAUGAGAUAUCAUCUCACACCGGUCAGAAUGGCCAUCAUCAAAAAAUCUAGAAACAAUAAAUGCUGGAGAGGGCGUGGAGAAAAGGGAACACUCUUGCACUGCUGGUGGGAAUGUAAAUUGAUACAGCCACUAUGGAGAACAGUAUGGAGGUUCCUUAAAAAACGACAAAUAGAACUACCGUAUGACCCAGCAAUCCCACUACUGGGCAUAUACCCUGAGAAAACCAUAAUUCAAAAAGAGUCAUGUACCAAAAUGUUCAUUGCAGCUCUAUUUACAAUAGGCAGGACAUGGAAGCAACCUAAGUGUCCUUCAUCGCAUGAAUGGAUAAAGAAGAUGUGGCACAUGUAUACAAUGGAAUAUUACUCAGCCAUAAAAAGAAACGAAAUUGAGUUAUUUGUAGUGAGGUGGAUGGAGUUAGAGUCUGUCAUACAGAGUGAAAUAAGCCAGAAAGAGAAGAACAAAUACAGUAUGCUAACACAUAUAUAUGGAAUCUAAGGAAAAAAAAGUCAUGAAGAACCUAGUGGCAAGACGGGAAUAAAGACAUAGACCUACUAGAGAAUGGACUUGGGGAUAUGGGGAGGGGGAAGGGUAAUAUGUGACAGGGUGAGAGAGUGGCAUGGACAUAUAUACACUACCAAAUGUAAAAUAGCUAGUGGGAAGCAGCCGCAUAGCACAGGGAGAUGAGCUCGGUGCUUUGUGAUCACCUAGAGGGGUGGA